rnacentral:rRNA from 1 species
UACGAAGGGGGCUAGCGUUGUUCGGAAUUACUGGGCGUAAAGCGAACGUAGGCGGUGUUCCAUGUCAGAGGUGAAAGCCUGGGGCUCAACUCCAGAAUUGCCUUUGAAACGGGAACGCUUGAGUCCGAGAGAGGGUGGCGGAAUUCCUAGUGUAGAGGUGAAAUUCGUAGAUAUUAGGAAGAACACCAGUGGCGAAGGCGGCCACUUGGCUCGGUACGUGACGCUCAGGUUCGAAAGCGUGGGGAGCAAACAGGG